UAAACUUACGCACUUAACUUUAUAAUCACGUAAAACUACUCAAAUUUCAAGUACAUUAUCCGCUGUGUAAUAACUGUACCUUCUUUAACCAAAUAUAUAAAAAGCCUGUAAAUAAAUUCUAACACAUAGAAUACUCACGACUGUUGUAAAUAACUUCUUCGCUAGUGAAUAAAAUAAUCACAAAAUUUAAUAGCGUAAAACGAAAAUACAGAGCUCAUACGAAAGACUUAUAUAACGCUAAACGUCAAACGUUGCGAAGCAGGAAAUUGGGUCUUUCUGAAAUUCUCACGGAAGAAAACCAAAUUACAUGGUGCUAAUUGCUACCGCCGACAUUCCACCCCACCCAGACUCAAAAUAUACAUUAAUGUACACAAACACACCUAACUGAGGCUAACUCACAAUUGACUGACUUGACGACGCAAAGACGACGAAUACAAGAAUUUUAAACCAGGAAGUUGAAUAACCUCAACCGUUUAUUGAUAAAGCAAAAGCCUAAACGUUUUGGUGAGUUAAAAAUCAUUUCAUUUUUAGAUGUGAGGUGUUAAGUUGUAUAUUACUGAAGGAAAUUUCAUUUUAUACGCUUUAAAUUUGUUGUGUAAUUUUCACGGAACUGUGUAAUUGGCUGCUUAAGGAUCUUUAACGUUGAACAUGAGGCAACAGUUUUAAUAAGAAUAUAGUUUAAUAUUAUUGUUUAUUUAAAAA